CAUAAAGCUGCUGUUAGGCUUGGAAAGGAUCGCCUGUUACUUUUGAAAAAAUGUCUUCUUAAAUGUCAUACAUAAGGUGAACAUGUUGAGGUGAAUAUAUUUUGUAAACAAGAAGUGUGGUAGUGUGGGCCUUUAACAGGACAGUUUCCUUUCUAAGUGGGAUGGGGAGAAUGAAGCCUUCUUCUCAUGAAAUAUCCAGAGUGAGCUAAAGAUACACUGAAGCAAGGAGUUGGAUCACAGAACUAGCCCUGACUCUGAUUUAAAUAUGUGCUCUUGGAAUUUCUGGAUUGAGUUACAACUGUACAAGUGUGUGGUUCUUUCCACACAAUUUGAAACCCCAGAAAAAAAGGAGAGAGUCAGUAUUCCAUUCAUACAGUCAGAGAGGACUCUGGAUUGGCCAGUACUCACUGUUCAGGAUGUUGCUUGUCCUGCUUCUGAUUUUCUCCAGCAAAUCUCACAGUGGAGACCUGUCAGGAGUCUCAGCGGCUGACUAUGCCAUUCCUCCCAGCUGAUAUCAAGCCCACCACUGACUCACCCCUUUCGUGGCUCCUAGAGACACACUCUCAAGAUGGUGCCUGGGUGGCUGACAAUGUCUGAUAUGCCAAACCAGAAAUGAUGCCAAAGUCACAGCAUGUGCCUGGCAGAGUGUGUAAGGUGGUCAGAACCAUUUACCAUGCUGCAUGCGGAACGGAUUUGGCAAAUCCUCAUAAGAGCAGGGGAUUACAGCCUGGGCUGGGCCACAUGGAUCUCUGGGCAUGGAUAAAUUAUAUCCUUUACCACCACCCUGCAUGGUUGGGCCCUCCUAAGCUACCUCACAGUGUUGUUGUGAAGAUAAAAUGGGAAUACCAUGUAUGCUGCUUACUUCUGCCUGAUACUAAGGAGGAUCUAUUUGAAGAGAGUCACAGCAAGUGUGAUUUAAUUUUUUCCCUCUGCCUUUGAAGCCAUCUCACAUCCCUUCAGCUCAAUUUCCCAUCUCCAUUCAAUGAUCUGUUCCAUCCCAUGUGGACAAUAAAGAUGUCUUGAGAUUCAGUGGUGUCUCAGAGAAGAGUAUACUGAAUUUGCUGCUUGAAGUGAAAACCUUGUUAUAUCACUUUCACAUUUGAAGUACAUGAAACUCAGUGAUGCCCUGCUGAGACAGGAAGGGGGUCUGAAAUAUUAAAACGGUUUGGGAUGGAAGAGAGAAAUGUUGAGAACUGUCAGUGUGCAAAGUUUUUUAUGAAAUGUGUAUACAAUCACAGAAUGUAUACUGAAAUAUAUUUAGAAUUAAAGCUAAAGUUCAA